UUCCGGUUGAUCCUGCCGGAGGUUACUGCUAUCGAGGUUCGACUAAGCCAUGCGAGUCGAAUGUAGCAAUACAUGGCGAACUGCUCAGUAACACGUGGACAACCUGCCCUUAGGACGGGGAUAAACCCGGGAAACUGGGUAUAAUACCCGAUAGGUCUCGAUUGCUGGAAUGCAUCGAGAUUUAAAGCUCCGGCGCCUAAGGAUGGGUCUGCGGCCUAUCAGGUAGUAGUGGGUGUAGCGUACCUACUAGCCUACGACGGGUACGGGUUGUGAGAGCAAGAGCCCGGAGAUGGAUUCUGAGACACGAAUCCAGGCCCUACGGGGUGCAGCAGGCGCGAAAACUUUACAAUGCUGGCAACAGCGAUAAGGGAACCUCGAGUGCCAGGUUACAAAUCUGGCUGUCGAGAUGCCUAAAAAGCAUUUCAUAGCAAGGGCCGGGCAAGACCGGUGCCAGCCGCCGCGGUAACACCGGCGGCUCGAGUGGUAACCGUUAUUAUUGGGUCUAAAGGGUCUGUAGCCGGCCGGAUAAGUCUCUUGAGAAAUCUGGCAGCUUAACUGUCAGGCUUUCAGGAGAUACUGUCUGGCUCGAGGCCGGGAGAGGUGAGAGGUACUUCAGGGGUAGGGGUGAAAUCUUGUAAUCCUUGAAGGACCACCAGUGGCGAAGGCGUCUCACCAGAACGGACCUGACGGCAAGGGACGAAAGCUAGGGGCACGAACCGGAUUAGAUACCCGGGUAGUCCUAGCCGUAAACGAUACUCGCUAGGUGUCGGCCACGGUGCGACCGUUGUCGGUGCCGUAGGGAAGCCGUGAAGCGAGCCACCUGGGAAGUACGGCCGCAAGGCUGAAACUUAAAGGAAUUGGCGGGGGAGCACCACAACGGGUGGAGCUUGCGGUUUAAAUGGAUUCAACGCCGGG
rnacentral:rRNA from 1 species